GAUGAACGCUGGCGGCGUGCCUAAUACAUGCAAGUCGAGCGAACGGACGAGAAGCUUGCUUCUCUGAUGUUAUCGGCGGACGGGUGAGUAACACGUGGAUAACCUACCUAUAAGACUGGGAUAACUUCGGGAAACCGGAGCUAAUACCGGAUAAUAUUUUGAACCGCAUGGUUCAAAAGUGAAAGACGGUCUUGCUGUCACUUAUAGAUGGAUCCGCGCUGCAUUAGCUAGUUGGUAAGGUAACGGCUUACCAAGGCAACGAUGCAUAGCCGACCUGAGAGGGUGAUCGGCCACACUGGAACUGAGACACGGUCCAGACUCCUACGGGAGGCAGCAGUAGGGAACCUUCCGCAAUGGGCGAAAGCCUGACGGAGCAACGCCGCGUGAGUGAUGAAGGUCUUCGGAUCGUAAAACUCUGUUAUUAGGGAAGAACAUAUGUGUAAGUAACUGUGCACAUCUUGACGGUACCUAAUCAGAAAGCCACGGCUAACUACGUG
rnacentral:rRNA from 1 species